CUUUUGUUUAGCUAGACCUAUUGUUUAUACAAUGAUGUGGGUUUAAAUGAAAAUGAUUCAUACACCUAAUGGAGCAAUAAUCUAUAUAUAGUUUUCUUUGAAGAAAAAACAAAGAUCAAUCAAUCUGAGACAUCAUUAUUUGAAAAAAUAUGUAUAUUAUAAAAUAUCUCUUUCAAAACAGAAAUGGGUGACAUUAUAGUUCAGUAUGUGGUAUUGCGAAGAGACCUUUUAAAGGUAAUGAAAUGGCCCGUAGGUGCAAUUGUAGCUCAAGCUUGUCAUGCUUGUACUGCUGUUACACAUCUUUUUUAUAAUGACAGUUAUAUGCAAGACUACCUCAAGAAUUUAGAUGACAUGCAUAAAAUUGUACUUGAAGUUCCUGAUGAAUCCAGCUUAAAUACUUUAUCUAUACAAUUGAAAAAUUCUGAUAUCGAUCAUAAAUUGUGGAUUGAACAACCUGAAAAUAUACCAACAUGUUUGGUGACAAAGCCCUAUCCUAAGGACAAAGUGAAAUCAUAUUUCAAGGAAUAUAAAUUAUUUAAAUCAUAAUCAUGAUAUAGCUCUAAUUUAUACGAUUGCAAAUUGUUUUCUUUGUAUUGCACAGUUAUAAUAAUAAAAAAUAACAAUUUUUAGUGUUCUACAUUGCUUAGAGUGCUUGAUAUAUGAAAAAUCUCUUAUGCUUGAUAUCUUAGGGAUAUCUUCUGCUUGAUAUCUUACUUUUCAUCCACAUUGUAAGGAUCAUUUGUAAUACUUAAAUAUUAGGUUUCUGAAUAUUUUAUUCAUUUUAUUAAUAUUUUCCACAUAAUUUGAAUCAUAUUUUGUUUUUUACAUGAAGGAUGACAAAGUUUAAAACAGGUUUUAUUAUGAAAAUGGCAGAAUAUUCCAGAUAUACACUUAUAUUUUAUUUUACAAUACCUGGUAAUAUUGACAAUGUGUACACAUUAUUUUUUUGCUUUACAGCUAAUGUAAUUCUAAUCUAAUGGAAACUUGUGUAAUGAUAUGCUUCAUUAACUGAUACUCGUAUAAAAAUUAGCCUUUGUGAUUGUGCAAAAAUAUGCACUUUAUCCAACACAUCGAAGGCAACAAAAUUACACAGACACAUCAUCAGUAAAAUUAUGUUGAUAUUGUUCUAACCGCGUUUGCGGUAAUAAGCUCUAAAAUAUUUAUGUACACGCACUAUUUGCGGACGCUAAACACUGUAAGUACAUUUAUUUACAACACUUGAUGGCAAGAUGAUUAGUUUGGCAUAUAGGUAAAUAUAUGCAAAAAAUAUGUAUAUCUAAAAUAUACAUAUAUAUUUCUUUUGUAAACUUGUUUUUACGUCAAAUUGGAUGAGUAUUUUCACGAUGGAAUAUACACGAAGGUCCCUGGAAAUAUGUACUAUCUUCAUUGUAUCACUGCCCUUUUCCUUCCUCUUCUUGCUCUUCCAGCCAUUCGCGAAGAAUAUUGUUUCCAUCCUGCAAAUAUGAUGAAACAAAUAUAUUAUUACUAGUUUUGGGAAAUAUGAAAUUAAAUUUUUAAGCAAGUCUAAUAUAUGUAUCUACAGUAUCAUUCAUAAUCAUUUAAACAAGGAAGACUACAAUGUAACUUGUUUUUGAAAGCAACAUAAAUGUCUUACACUAAAGUUAACUUAAAUAAUUUAUUAUUAUAAUAACUAAUACUUUUUUUUAUUUUACAAUGGUUGUAAUUGUGGGCAUUUUAAAUAUUAUAUAUUAGGUUACAUUAUUUUUAAAUCUUUGUGAAACAAGUUACUUACAAUUAAGUAAAUAGGUAGAAAUUGUUCUUUAUCGCGAAGAAAGGCAUAUAAAAGAAAAUGCAAAACGUGUUAAUAAA